GCACUGCUGUUGAAUCCCUGCUGUGCCUGUGCGUGGUGUGGGGGUCAGACUUCAGCCCCAGAGCACAUGCUUGUGCCUGACUGGGGAUGCCUGCUCCCCACAGUGGCCCUUUUAGCCCUGAGCUAUGUGG